UGUCCCGCCGAGCGCGGUGUUAGCGGGGCCGGCUGGGGCUGAGGGCUCCCAUAGCCCAGCGACGGGCACCGACCGCUCCCUGCCCUCUCCGAGUCCCCGUGCAAGGUGAAGAGGGUGCUGACUGCAAUCACAAGUCAAUUCUGGAAGAGUCACAGGCAUCAGAGGACACAGACCUGCUGGGGUAAUGAGAUGAAGCCUUCUGAAGGUGGCUACUGAGCAGACAUUACCAAUGCCAUCAUGCCCACAGUCAUCUUGACCUCUGAUGAGGCACUGGAGCCACCUGAACUCUAUCAAAGGUUUCAAGAUAUUUCAAAGAUUUUUUUCUACAUGGGAAUUCCAUUCGGAAAGAGAUACCAAGUUGCAACUAGCUUCUUUUCCUUUCCACCGAAGGCUGAUCUUCCCAAAGUGGCCAACUUUUCCUAGUUCUUCAAGAUUUUUGGUGUAAAGUCUAUGUUGGCAGUUGCUCACAUGGCAAAAUGUACUUCCUGUACAUAUUAACCUUUUCUAGAUUCUAUUUUUUAAUAAUUACUAAUAUAUUCAAGGCUUUAAUUCCUUCUUAAGAACUGUUAAAAUGUAUUUUUUAUUGUUGGUUUAAAAAAAGUACAGUAUCUAAGCCAUUUAAAAUCUGUUAUGUCUUCCAUCUUUCUAGCAUAUUUUUCCCAUGGAGGUAUUAAAGACAAUUUCUAUCACCCAUAA